rnacentral:lncRNA from 1 species
CCAUACUGUUUUCAUGGAAGUGAAUAAGUCUCACAAGAUCUGAUGGUUUUAUAAGAGGAAACCCCUUUUGCUUGGCUCCAAUUCUUCUCCAUGCUUCCCCAUGUAAGAUGUGCCUUUCACCUUCUGCCAUGAUUAUGAGGCCUCCCGAGCCACGUGGAACUAUGAGAUCACUGAAACUGGAAGUGGAUGGAUAGCUCUCCUAUGGAGGAGGGUCACACAUUUAAGAGUGAAAACAUGAACCCAGGCGGGUAGAAGCCAUCACUUGCUUGCUUAAUCAUCAUGCUGUUUACCCUCUCCCUGGUCAACUAUUUAGCAUAAGUGAAUAUGGAUAAAAUUGCCCAGAUGAACUGUUGCUCACUACAUAUUGCAUUUGUAGGUUAGAGUAAAUAACAUCUGAUAGAAAGUGUCAUUACAAUUAAAAAAAAAAAGAGAGAGAGCUUCAGAUGCCCAGUGUUGUACCCAAGCUAAAGAUGAAGGAUGGCAUUUGGAAAGGGCAUAUCACAGGGACUGCAGAGCCUGGGCAUGGAGCGAUGACUCAACACUGAGUCCCUGGUUGCUACCCACAGUCUGGAUGGCUUGCUGGUAGCCUGGGAAGCGAGGGUGGAGGGGUCAGUGGCUUUGUGUUGGAAAUUGUGGAGCAGAGAAGAAACAACUAUUGCAAAAGUUUCCUGCAACCACAGAGAACGUGUCCAGAGUGAUUUAUUGCAACUGGAGUUUCAUUAUUUCCUUCUGUCUAGGGGAUUCUGUGUGUAGGUUUCUGCUGACCUCCUUCCCCAGGAAGCGAGAACAGAAUGUGACCUCUCCUUGUUCUUUAUUGAGUCCAAGUGCUCAAAUGCACCUUCAGGUCAGACG